GUGGGGAAUAUUGGACAAUGGGCGAAAGCCUGAUCCAGCCAUGCCGCGUGUGUGAAGAAGGUCUUCGGAUUGUAAAGCACUUUAAGUUGGGAGGAAGGGCAGUAAGUUAAUACCUUGCUGUUUUGACGUUACCGACAGAAUAAGCACCGGCUAACUUCGUGCCAGCAGCCGCGGUAAUACGAAGGGUGCAAGCGUUAAUCGGAAUUACUGGGCGUAAAGCGCGCGUAGGUGGUUUUGUAAGUUGGAGGUGAAAUCCCCGGGCUCAACCUGGGAACUUCCUCCAAAACUACUGAGCUAGAGUACGGUAGAGGGUAGUGGAAUUUCCUGGGUAGCGGUGAAAUGCGUAGAUAUAGGAAGGAACACCAGUGGCGAAGGCGACUACCUGGACUGAUACUGACACUGAGGUGCGAAAGCGUGGGGAGCAAACAGGAUUAGAAACCCCAGUAGUCC
rnacentral:rRNA from 1 species